rnacentral:rRNA from 1 species
UACAGAGGAUGCAAGCGUUAUCCGGAAUGAUUGGGCGUAAAGCGUCUGUAGGUGGCUUUUUAAGUCCGCCGUCAAAUCCCAGGGCUCAACUCUGGACAGGCGGUGGAAACUACCAAGCUGGAGUACGGUAGGGGCAGAGGGAAUUUCCAGUGGAGCGGUGAAAUGCAUUGAGAUCAGAAAGAACACCAAUGACGAAAGCACUCUGCUAGGCCGACACUGACACUAAGAGACGAAAGCUAGGGGAGCAAAUGGG